rnacentral:lncRNA from 1 species
UAAAGUGGAGGGCUUAGGAUAAAACAAAGCUCACAAAUCGCCCGACGUGAGAAGUGACAGCGCAAUUCCCAACUGCUCUUUUCCCGAAGCUCCGCUCUGUGAAUGAGGGCUUCGCGUUUACUGCUCCAAGCUCCCAAAUUCAGAUGUUGGGAGGGCAAAAUAUGCUUCCAUUUUCAAAUUUGCCACAUUAUUAUUAUUAUUAUUAUUAUUAUUAUUAUUAUUAUUCCCUGAAAAGGCGUUCUGGUCCCUAAUCCCCUGAGAUACCGUCUCCCAAAAGCGUCCCCUCCACCACCUCCUUUGCUCCGUUAAAAAUAAACGUAAAAAUAAAAUAACAUCCCCGAGGAGAAGGAAGCGUUUCACCCCAGCCCUGAGCAAAGCCCCACAGGGUGCGCUGCCCUCUCCUCACCCCAAUCCUUGCAUUCCUCUCCCGCGGUCCCCGGGACCCUCAGUGCCCCCCCGUCCGUUCCCCAGUGUCCGGGGAGCUCCACACCUGCGGCCCAUAAAUAAUGGGGCGAACUAGUAGGGUCAGCCAUUGUUAAUUACCCGCUUGCAUUAAAAUCCGUCUCCCAGAGCCCGCUGCAUGUGAAGGUGACAGGAACCGAGAUAUGCACGCACACACACAUGUAUAUUUUUCCUCCCUUUCUCUUUUGAAGGCUCUCAAUGACACCUAACGCUUUUUUUUUUUUUUUUGUCAAGACGAGUAUUUAUCCGGGGCCAAAAACUGAGGGGGAUGAGCAGCGUUGAGGGGUGAGAGAGCAGAGCAGUGAUUUGGGCAUAAGAGGAGUAAAAGGAGGGCUAUGAACAGAGGAGGGGGGGGGGGGGGGGCGCCCUAAUUACAUCCUAUUAGACGUGUAUGUUUCUUAGGUAUUCUAUCAUGCAGGAUUUUUUUUUUCCCACAUACUUGUAUGUAGCAUUAAAUAUAUCGUGUAUGUACUGUAUGAAUGCAGAAUAUGUAAGAUAUAUUCUGUGCAUGGAUCGACAGAGGCAAGUCGGUGGAAAAAUGCGUGUGGGAACAGAGCAGGAAUGCUCUGGCCGCGCACACAUCGCUACACGGCAAUAUCGGAUAGGCAUACGCGUGUCUGCAUAUAUACCAAUAUAUAUGCACAUAAAUACGAAUCCAGGCCCUGUACGCAUCUCCUUCCCGUCCCAGGAUGGAUAUUUCGCAGCCAGAGCC